CUGGGGCUCAGAUCGGUUUGGGCUUUUGGUGGUUGGGAACCACACUGAGGAGUAUAGGGCUUGUUUUCUGUGCUCUGAUGAAGUGAUCAGAGGGAUACCGGGCCGAGCUCAGUUUAAUCCAUCUCUCUGAAACGGUUCUGCCGAUGCCUGAACAAAAACAUGCCGCUGUUACCCGGAUGAGCUCUAUAGGCGGCGGUGUUCCGGGACUGUAGGACCCACCGACACACACAGAGACACGGGAUUGGAGAAAGAAAACAAGUUACUGGUUUUUAUUUCACUCCAAGAAGACUGUUAGAGGAUUGUAUCAAGGCCGGGGAUGAAGUGAUCCAAGCGUCAGUCGGCUUUUGUAGAGUCAACUGCACUGCAUCCCCUGAGCCGUCAUGAUGUUCCAGCAGUAAGAGGCUGCCGUGUGGUUCCUGAUCUCACCGUCCCAUGCCCGCAGUCCCAGGCUGAGGCGCUCUCUCAGGGGCCUCUCUUGCUCCCUCAGUGCUCAGGGUCAUGGAGCACACACGGGAGAAGGAGGGCGAGCGGCCAGCUCGGAGCAGCAAGGCUGCUCAGGGCCGCAGCGCACACUCUCGCCCCUCUGGCUCGGGGUCCUCCGGCGUGCUGAUGGUUGGACCAAACUUCCGUGUGGGAAAGAAGAUUGGAUGUGGGAAUUUUGGGGAGCUGAAGCUUGGUAAGAACCUCUACACCAACGAAUAUGUGGCAAUAAAACUGGAGCCCGUGAAGUCGAGGGCACCUCAGCUACAUUUGGAGUACCGGUUCUAUAAAACUCUAGGCAGCACAGUGGAGGGCUUGCCGCAGGUCUACUACUUUGGCCCGUGUGGGAAGUAUAAUGCAAUGGUUCUGGAGCUUCUUGGUCCCAGUCUGGAAGACUUGUUUGACCUGUGUGACCGAACAUUCUCGCUGAAAACAGUUCUCAUGAUUGCCAUUCAGCUGAUAAGUCGGAUGGAAUAUGUGCACUCAAAAAACCUCAUCUACCGGGAUGUCAAGCCAGAGAACUUCCUCAUCGGUCGUCAGGGCAGUAAAAAGGAGCACAUCAUCCACAUAAUUGACUUUGGACUGGCGAAGGAGUACAUCGACCCAGAGACGAAAAAACACAUACCUUACAGAGAACACAAGAGCCUGACUGGGACAGCGCGCUACAUGUCCAUCAACACACACUUGGGAAAAGAGCAAAGUCGGCGAGAUGACCUAGAAGCUCUCGGUCACAUGUUUAUGUACUUCCUGAGGGGAAGUCUGCCAUGGCAGGGCCUAAAGGCUGACACACUGAAAGAGCGUUACCAGAAAAUCGGAGACACCAAACGGAACACUCCCAUCGAGGUUCUCUGUGAGAACUUCCCAGAGGAGAUGGCUACAUACCUGCGCUACGUGCGACGGUUAGAUUUUUUUGAGAAGCCCGAUUACGAAUAUCUGAGGACUCUCUUUACUGAACUCUUUGAGAGGAAAGGAUAUACGUUUGACUACACGUAUGACUGGGUUGGCAGACAAAUACCAACACCAGUUGGGUCAGUUCCUGUGGAUUCAGGAGCCUCUGCCAUCACCAGAGAAACCCACACCAACAGAGAGAGACCUUCACAACAUCAGCCACUGCGUAACCAGGUGGUCAGCUCAACCAAUGGGGAACUGAAUGCAGAUGACCCUUUAGCAGCCCACUCCAAUGCACCAAUAACAACACAAGCAGAAGUGGAAGUGGUGGAUGAGGCUAAGUAUGUUGUUUUCCCCUCUCUUCAGUCUUCUUCUUCCUCCUUAUUUCUGUGUUGUAAAAGUGUUGUCCUCAAAGCCACUCCUAUUGGUUUCACAGGGUCUAGCUGUUCCUGUUUCUUUUUUAUGCACCGCCCCAUUCAUGUUGUCUAUACAUACUCCACCCCUUUGCCUUGUGUAUGUAUGUGCUAUGCAUUUCUUAUCACCCUGCAGUGUUGCAUGUCUUGCCACUCCACCUGUUUGUGUGUAUAGUAUUAAUCUCUAUCUCUCUCUCUACGCUUUCUGUAGCUGCGUGAAAAUGCUCAACUUGUGGUGCUGCUGCUUCUUCAAACGUAAGAGGAAGAAGAGUUCUCCAAGGCACAAAUGAGCCGAAACGUUCCUUAUUUUCACUGCACUGCUGACGUGAGCCUCUCCAGGGAACGCCAUUCAUGGCUGGAACCGAAAAGGCCAUCACAUACACACAAUGGUUUAUUGCCCUAGACUCCACAGACAGGCUCCUUAAUAGUCCAGAGCCACCUGGGCAAGACUGUGUCUCCCCCCUUGCACUCUUUUAUUCUGCCUUUCAUCUUGAUUUUAUUUGUUUUUAUUUAUAUUUUUUGUCUCGAUGCUUUUGUGGAAGUCUGUCUGUGUGAAGAGCCAGUCGAUAGAGGACCAUCACGCUGUUUUACUCUCGCAGGGUCAUGUUUCGUUUUGGCAGGACUUCUAGUGUCCUUUUUCCCCUCCAAACUUUUAAACGGCUCAAAGGCCUGCCCUGCCUUUCUGUUUUGCCUUUUUAUUUUCCCAUUCUUCACAUCGCAUACCUUUAGACAGAAUUCAUCACCUGGUGGUACCUAUACUCCACAGCACAAUAUGCUUACACUCCAGUGUACAGUUUUAUACUGCAGGUUCAGUGCAGUCUGAAUAUAAAUUUCAUGCACUGAUUCAACAUCAUUUAAAACCAAAAGUCAGCAAUACCAACACAUGCACAGUGGUGUCACCACAAAAUAAAGCCUCAUUCUGAAUAAUUCAGGAGCGCAGUAAGAAUAGUGUUUACUCCGCCCUCUCCCCCCAACACCUCAUGACAAUCACAGUUAGGGGAGUGCAUUACAGUGGACCGAAACAUUAUCGCAUGUAAAAGUGCAAUACAUACCAUAUGUCUGUAUGUAUACGUGGAUGAAAUUCUGAAGGAUUUUGGCAUAGAUGGAUAACUUGCGGAAGGAUUUUGUCCUUGUCCCUGAAAGGUUGCUCCAUAUAUUAAAGUAUUUAUCCUGAAGGUAUUUGUGGCAUGUGAAAUGUUUGAUUAGAUAACCAAAAGCCAUAUUUCAUGAAACUGUAUUUAAUCGUAUUGUAGUUUGCAUGAUCUUCCCCAUGGCUUCCUACUACUACUAUGGCUACAGCAGGUGUAUAAAGAGAGAACCCAAUUCAGUGCCACUCAUUUUUAGCUCGAGACUGCAUAGCGUGUUGCUAACUGCUGCAAAAUAGAAUAUUUCAACCGCUGAGUGUGCAAUAUCUUUUUCCCAGAGCACUCUCCAUUUUCACUUUCAUCUUUUGAUUGUCCCCCACAGAGGAGACCAACAGAUUGUCUUUUUUAGUGGGAUUCUAUAUAUGUGAGUGUAUGAUUGUACAGUAAGGAGGAGGGACUUGCUCUGUCACAUUAUUUCAGGCAUCUGCUCUUGUGUCCCCUGCUGGCCGUACUGUGUAAUGCCUUAACAAGACUCACUUAACAGAGCUGCACUCACACCAGCCAUUUUAGCUGGGUACAGAACCCAGUCUGAUGCCUGCAUCAGAUACACAACUCCUUAAAAUCCCUUUAGGACCAGCCCCUGUCCUAACUCUAUAGGUGUAUUUUGACUGCAGACUAGUCAUAUCUGGUAACAGCCUACGGAAACUCGCAGUGAUGAAGUGUGAUUUAUUCAAGUUAUUAUUCUGGACAAAGGUAUUAGAUCUACAGAUGUCUCUGGCUAUUGUGGCUAGGAGGCCCAGGCUAGCACAGAGAGGGGAUGAGGGUGAAACCAAUAUAGGAAUGAAUGAUGCUGAAGAUCAUUACAGGCUAUGUGAAGGUGUUGGUUGUAACGAGAGGAAAGCUAAGGCUUCCUUUAAAUGUAUCAUGUUCUGUUCUUCUGCGUCGUUUUGAACUUCUGCUUUGGUCCUCAAACUAGCUUUUGAUGUGAUUGAGUGAAUGUGAGUUUCUCCAUGUAUGAUCUGACUUGCAGCUGCCUGUUUAUAGCAUUAACUCUGCUGCAACACUUUCCUAAUAUAACGACUCUCGAUGACUGUUUUUUUGUGGUUUUUAAUGUUGUUUUUCUUUUACAUGCUGUUUAACGCUUGCUGUUGGAAAGAUGGAAAUGUCCUUUUUUUCAGAUUUUUGCCUUGAACAAAAUGAACUUUUAUUUUGUAUUUUAAUGCCUCAAAGGAACGUUGUUUUAUGAUGUGAUCUGUGCAUGUACACUGCAUAUGAGUGUAUGUGCUCACUUUAUCCAUGAUUUUAUUGAUUGUGAAUAUUUGUAUGAUUUAGUCUGUUUGGAAACACUAUGGUCUCAGUGGCACCUCCUGGUGGGGUGGAUGACAGUCUGGGCUGGAUUUACGCUUCUCUCAUAAAUUAGCCAUAUUAAAAACUGUAAAACUGUUUAGUAUGAUGCUGAAUUGUGCAUAACUGGUGUGCAUUUACUUGUCUUUUUUUUGUUGGGUUUUUGUUUCAUUUUAAAUUAUAAAGCUUUAAUUUGAUCACUGA